rnacentral:rRNA from 1 species
UAAUGCCGGAUGUUCCACAUGAUCGCAUGUGAUUGUGGGAAAGAUUCUAUCGGCGUGGGAUGGGGUCGCGUCCUAUCAGCUUGUUGGUGAGGUAACGGCUCACCAAGGCUUCGACGGGUAGCCGGCCUGAGAGGGCGACCGGCCACAUUGGGACUGAGAUACGGCCCAGACUCCUACGGGAGGCAGCAGUGGGGAAUAUUGCACAAUGGGCGCAAGCCUGAUGCAGCGACGCCGCGUGAGGGAUGGAGGCCUUCGGGUUGUAAACCUCUUUUGUUUGGGAGCAAGCCUUCGGGUGAGUGUACCUUUCGAAUAAGCGCCGGCUAACUACGUGCCAGCAGCCGCGGUAAUACGUAGGGCGCAAGCGUUAUCCGGAUUUAUUGGGCGUAAAGGGCUCGUAGGCGGCUCGUCGCGUCCGGUGUGAAAGUCCAUCGCUUAACGGUGGAUCUGCGCCGGGUACGGGCGGGCUGGAGUGCGGUAGGGGAGACUGGAAUUCCCGGUGUAACGGUGGAAUGUGUAGAUAUCGGAAAAAGAACAC